GGAACUUGCACUCGUUGCGGCGCAACGAUGACAAAAGA
rfam:Synergistales bacterium 53_16 MPI_scaffold_541, whole genome shotgun sequence.